rnacentral:rRNA from 1 species
UACGUAGGCAGCAAGCGUUGUUCGGAGUUACUGGGCGUAAAGAGUGCGUAGGCGGUGUCGAAAGUUUGGCGUGAAAUCUCCCGGCUUAACUGGGAGGGUGCGCCGAAAACUGCGACGCUGGAGUAUGGGAAAGGCAAGCGGAAUCCUGGUGUAGCGGUGAAAUGCGUAGAUAUCAGGAGGAACACCGGUGGCGAAGGCGGGUCUCGUGGGCCGAUGACUGACGCUGGAGGAGCGAAAGCGUGGGGAGGCGAACAGGA